AUGGACCACACAGGGCAAGAAUGGAAGCAGGAUGCCUUGCUCGAGACUUCACCCAAGCCAGAGAUGAUGGUGGCUCGGUGUGACAACAGUGCGGAUGAAGAAAAGCUCAGAAGCCCAGGUCUGGCACCUCUGAGAGUGGCUGACAGUCUCCAAGGUUUCCAGACUGCCCUGCUGAGAUGGAGGCAGCCCGGGCUGAUGCUGGAGCCCUAGGAUGGCCACAGGUAGGCCUGGAGUUUGGUCCCAUUUCUGCCACUUGCUUCCUAUGUGAUAUAGGGCAAGUCACUUUCCAUCUCUAAGCUAAGGUUACUUGUGUGCGUGUUCGUCCAUCCAUUCACCCAUCCAGUAAGCCUUUUGACUACUCUUCACUGCCUGUUGGAUCAAGUCUCAUCUCCUUGACGUAGCAUUUAAGGCCCCUCCAACUAGAAGGAAGCUGGAUGAGAGGUUUUGUUUCCUGAGUGCUCUUAUUCUGUCCUCUGUCUUACCAGUCCUUCUCAUGUCUCACCUGGAACCCCAGCUGGCCUCCUGUGCCAGGCAGCCUGGCAGGGGCACACUCCAGGCAUCUGAGCAAGAGAAGCUCUGUCUUCUUUGGGAAUUCUGGCUGCCUGGUGCUAACAGACUCAGAGUUUUGGAAGACGCUUUUCCAGUUCCUGAGUGCAGGCCUAAGCCUAGAGGUGGAAGAGAGGGCACCAAGGAGUAGGUUAUAUCAAGAACCAGUGAGGGCCAGCUGGCCAAUAGGCUCAGUGAGGUAGCCUCUGGGUGGACAGCCUGGCGGGAGGGAAAUAGAUGGGAGGACAACGAGUUCUGUAGAAGCUGAGACCUGGAAGUGGCCAUGGGCAGGUUGGUUUGACUCAGAAUUGCGGAUUGAGGUUGCUGCUGCCUUGGUGCCCAGACUUUAGAGGACAGCACAGCUUGGAUAUGUUGGGAAUGUGUCCUGUUCCAUCACUAUGACUAUGGUGAUUAGUUCAGGGGUAGUUGCAUGGCCCAAGAGUGGUCUUUCUGAAUGAAUUCAAGGAAUUGAGCCUGAGCAUUGGGGAAGAGACUUGUUCUUUUCCCACUGGACUUAUAUCUGGGAAGAUGAAGCUUGGAAUUGCUGGUAGCCAUUCCCUCAUAGAUGUGAAAUCUGAGACUGAAGCCAACAGAGACAGAGCAGAGCAGAGUAGAGGCACAACUAGACUGGGUGAUGCCAUGGUUUGAGCCUAGUAUGAAGCUUUGCCUGAAGCUGGCUGUCCCUGGUACUUUUUAGUUUCAUGUGCUCUUUUUUGCUUAAGCCAAUUAGAAUUUUUAAAAAGUUGUUUGUAACCAGGAGAGUCUUACCUGACACACAACUGAUGAUAAAAUUUGUCUUCAGAAAGACCAAUGUGAUGGGGGAAGAUUCCUCAAGAGAUCAUCAAACCUCAGUCUUACAAGGACUCAGUGGAGCUCUGAUGACUACUAUCUUGUGUGGGAUCUAAUAGGGGUCCCACUGAUCUAGAGACCAACAGCCUGGGGACCCAAGACAGCUGCUCUUUGACCAGAGCCUGUCCACCUGGACACCGAGGGACCUGCCUUGCUGCGUCACAUGUAUCUGUGACUAAGAAGAGAUUGGACUGGUUACUGCCUAGCUCUGUAGCCCAGUCGGCUCACAUAGUCCAGGGAAAAGGGAUUUGUUAGACACAGGGACUAGGACUUGGCAAACCCACCUGGGGUGGGGGAGUGCUUCUGAAAAGGGUCUACUUAGAAUUAAAGGCUGGGAGAGAAAUCCUGUGUCACUCUGAUGUCCAACAUAGCCAUACAAGCUGGCUGCCACUCCUGGCUAUGACUUAACCUUCUGACAGCUCUUCUCCAAUUGGACUUCUGGGUUUCUACCUGGACAAAAGGAGCCUAGGCAGAGAAUUCAGAGCUUUUGGCCUGCAUAGGUUGAAAAUGCAGCAGAGCAGAAUGAAGAUUAGAUGGAACUGAAUACUGGAACAUACUACAAUUGUCCCUUGAUCUCUGUGGGGCAUUGGUUCCAGGACCUCCCACAGAUAUCAAAAUCUGAAGAUGCUCAAGUCCCUAGUAUAAAAUGGCACAAUAUUUGCAUAUAACCUUCGUACCUCCUCUGUAUACUUUAAUUGUCUCUAGAUUACAGUCAUGUGCCACAUAACAAUGUUUAAGUCAACUAUGGGCCACAUAUGCAAUGGGGUCCCAUAAGAUUAUAACGGAGCUGAAAAAUUGCUUAGUGACAUCGUCACCCUCAUAAGGACAUAGUGCAAUGCAUCAUUCAUGGGUUGUGAUGAUAACCAUUCACAUGGUUUCUUGUGUAAACAAACCUACUGCACUGUCAGUUGUAUAAAAGUAUAGCACAUACAAUUAUGUGCAGUGCAUAAUACUUGGUAAGAUAAUAAAAGACUAUGUUACUGGUUUAUGUGUUUAGUA
rnacentral:lncRNA from 13 species